GGCUAAAACUACACAUAAGCAAAGUAGCACAGCAGGUGGAUUUUUACAAGCGUGUUUCCCUCCUACAAGAGCGUUGAUGCAGAUAACAAGAAAACAAUAUUGAACACCAACAUCACUUCUGUCCGUUCAUAUCUUCAUGAUGUCCCUGACAGUGUCUCAGGGUGAAGAUGAGACUGUUUUUACAGUCACUUUAAAUCCCAGAAGCAAAUGGCACAUUUGGCUACAAAUUCUAGGUGCUUUAUGGGACUGUAUAGUAUGGACUGUGUCUCCGGAUAUGAAAGAAAAUGAAUCUGACAUCCAGACAACUUUUAGAAUUGUAUUAUUUGCAGUCAUAAAUUUGACAUUGGCUGGCUUUGGCUUUGCCUUCUUCUUAUUUGUUACACUUUGCCUGGCGAAGUUGGUAAGACUUUUAACUUAUUUUUGUUGCACUAAAUCACUUAUAUGUAAAAUGAAAACACUAAUUUG